UGGGGAAUAUUGCACAAUGGGGGAAACCCUGAUGCAGCGACGCCGCGUGAGCGAUGAAGGCUUUCGAGUCGUAAAGCUCUGUCCUAUGGGAAGAUAAUGACGGUACCAUAGAAGAAAGCCCCGGCUAAUUACGUGCCAGCAGCCACGGUAAUACGUAAGGGGCGAGCGUUGUCCGGAAUUAUUGGGCGUAAAGAGUGCGUAGGCGGCAAAUUAAGUCAGAUGUGAAAACUAAGGGCUCAACCCAUAGAUUGCAUCUGAAACUGAUAUGCUUGAGUCAAGGAGAGGAAAGUGGAAUUCCUAGUGUAGCGGUGGAAUGCGUAGAUAUUAGGAGGAAUACCGGUGGCGAAGGCGACUUUCUGGACUUGAACUGACGCUGAGGCACGAAAGCGUGGGGAGCAAACAGG
rnacentral:rRNA from 1 species